rnacentral:lncRNA from 1 species
AAAUAAGAAAAAAAUAAUUAACAUUAAUUUCAAUUUUUAAGCAAGAAUUGAAAAAAAAUAUAUGCUAAAAUAUUUAAGGAAAAAUUUGUUUGGUAGAGAAUUUAACACAUAAAAGACAAUUUGGAGAGUUUUACUGCUGCUAUACAACAACAUGUAUCUUACUGUGAAACAGAUUGCAUGAACGAAGUGGAUGUGAAAAAAAUGCUAUUUGUACCACUGUCAUUGUUAACUAUACAUGUAUUAUAAAUUAAAUGCCAGGUUAAUAUUAAUCAAAUCAUAAUUUUUGUGUUUUAGAAAUAAUAUCACUUUCUAAAGCUAAACUUUCUAAACACUUGCAUCAUUGCCUAGUCGGUCAAUAAUUGCAUUUGGGAUAAAGGCCUAAAAUUAUGUCCUGAUAUUUACAUGUGCAGCUACCUUUGUUGCAAAUAGCAUUUACACUAUUAAUAAUGAGGGUGAAAAAAGCUACACCAUAAGCAAUGCAUCAGAAGCAGAACUCAGAUUAUAGACAUCAUGACCACUGAUAUAUGCUAUAAUAUUUUUUAACUUCCUACAGAAAUAGUGUAUUUCUGUGUCUCUCACUGUCUCUCAUAGCUGCUACCUUGCAGCUAGAACAUGAUACAAGGCAUGGGUUUCCAAAGGUUGCUUUAAAAAUUAACCAGCAAGUUGCAAUAAUUUCUAGUGAAAAGACAAAAUCUAACAUUAACUCUAAAUGAAUGCAUAAAAUUGACAAAUUAGAUUUGGCCAUUGUGAACUGAGACGCUUCAAUUAAAUACUUCCUCCUUAAUUUGCAUAAAUUUUUAUGCUGCAACAUGUUUUGGCAUAUUUUUCCCUCUUCUUUUCCUCUUGAUACAUUUCUUAUUGCCAAUGUAAAAUUUAUUUCCUUUUUCAGGUGGCAUAAGGAAGAGGGGAACUUGAAUGUGGAGAAGGGCAGUUCUGGCAAUAAGAUGAAAUGGGCAGAAAAAACUUUCUUUGAUUUAAAAUUCAAUGUAAGGAGACUGAAGAUAACCCUGAAUGAAACUGGAAGAAAGCAUGCGUUUCCUGGUAAAAAUGAGAAGCUAAUACAUUUGCAAAAUUCUUCUGUGUCCUUCUCAGGCGGCUUAGGCUGUUCGGAAGACCAGAUGAAUUGUGUGAGGUUGAGUAUUAGCUCUCGCUUCAGAACACACCAGCCUGGACUGAGAAGUUAACAUUGUUUUAAGCAAACUGCAGUGGCAGUACAGCAUGAGCAACUCGUAUAUAAAGACAGGUGCUGACUUCAGAAUGAGGAGAAAGGUGAGUGUGCAGAGGGUAAGUAUUGAGCACAAGAACAAACAGGACAAUACUGCAUGACACUGUGUAUUAAAACUACUGGUUACAUACUUUUCCUAGUUUUCUUUUUCCAGUCUUGUGUGAAAAGUCUUGCUGGCAGUAAGGAUGGAGUAAAAUCUGGGAAAAGCUAGGCACCUCUGAUUCAUUUGCAUCUUGUUUGUCAACCAGAGACUUUGAGAUGUUGUAUUUCACAAGAUUUCCCUAGCGAUCAAACACAGAAAAACAUAAUUCCCAAGGAUUUAACAUUCUCAGACAAGAGCUGGUCUGGGUCCUUAAUGCAUUAUUCAGUAAAAAAGGCAGUGUAAGCGAGUGAAUGAAUUUGUCCAGUCAAGUCUGUAAUAAUAAAAAAGGCACAAGAAUAAGUUUUUUACUUUUG